GAUGAACGCUGGCGGCGUGCCUAAUACAUGCAAGUCGAGCGAACAGACGAGGAGCUUGCUCCUCAGACGUUAGCGGCGGACGGGUGAGUAACACGUGGAUAACCUACCUAUAAGACUGGGAUAACUUCGGGAAACCGGAGCUAUUACCGGAUAAUAUAUUUAACCGCAUGGUUCAAUAGUGAAAGACGGUUUUGCUGUCACUUAUAGAUGGAUCAGCGCCGCAUUAGCUAGUUGGUAAGGUAACGGCUUACCAAGGCGACGAUGCGUAGCCGACCUGAGAGGAUGAUCGGCCACACUGGAACUGAGACACGGUCCAGACUCCUACGGGAGGCAGCAGUAGGGAAUCUUCCGCAAUGGGCGAAAGCCUGACGGAGCAACGCCGCGUGAGUGAUGAAGGUCUUCGGGUCGUAAAACUCUGUUAUUAGGGAAGAACAAAUGUGUAAGUAACUAUGCACGUCUUGACGGUACCUAAUCAGAAAGCCACGGCUAACUACGUG
rnacentral:rRNA from 1 species